GGACGGGGACAGGGACAAGGUGGGGACAGGGAAAGGGAUGGGGACAGGGACAGGGAUGGGAUGGCACAGGGUGGAAAUGGGGACCAGGACAGUGAUGGGGACAGGGAAGGGGAUGGGGCCGUCACUCACCCCUUGGCCUCAGCCACCUCCGGGGAGCUGGGGGCUGCCGAGAGCCCCCCCAUUUCUUCCAGCCUGGGUGGGACACGGGGGGGGAGGGUCAGAGCUACGGGGCCCCCGCCACACGCGGUGUCACCGUGCCGUGUCCCCAAACACACACGGUGUCCCCAAGCCCCCUCUGCAGUGUCCCCAAGCCCCCAAGCAACGUCCCCGAGACCCCAUGCAACGUCCCCAAGCACCCACGAAAUGUCCCCAAGACCCCCCACAAAGCCCCCAGCCCCCCACAACGUCCCCAAGCCCCCAGGCGAUGUCCCCGCGCCCCCACCUGGCGAGCAGCAGGCGCAGGACGUCGUGGGGCUGGGUGAAGGCACGGAAGGUGGCGAGGAAGGUGGGGACGAAGGCUCCGUCCCCGCGGGCCGGGGCCUCCAGCAGGUGCCGCACCAGGCGGGGCAGGGGGGCGGCGCGCAGCAGGCGGGCGGGGGGCGCCCCGGGCCGGGGGGCCAGGGAGAAGACGGCGUCAUCCUCCCGCACCUCCGCCUGCGACGGCACCCGCGCCGCAGGGCAGGGUCACCGGGUGGCACCAUGUGGUACCAUCGCCCCGUGGCACCGGCAUCCCAAUGGCACCCACUGCCCCCCAGUGGCACCCAACACCCCUAAAUGGCACCCAACGCCCAACGGCACCCAUCCCCACCCAACUGCACCCACUGCCCCCCAACGGCACCCAACAGCACCCAUUGCCCCCCCAGCUGAAGUCAUUGACCCCCAAUGGCACCCAUUGCUCCCCAAUGGCACCCAACACCCAAUGGCACCCAUCACCACCCAACUGCACCCACUGCCCCCCAAUGGCACCCAACGCCCCCCAAUAGCACCCAACGCCCCCAAAUGGUACCCAGCACCCAAUGGCACUCAACAGCACCCAACUGCACCCGCUGCCCCCAAAACGUUCCCAUUGCCCCCCAACUGCACCCAUCACUCCCCGGUGGCACCCAACACCCCCAGUGGCACCCAAUGGCACCCAUCACCCCCUAACUGAACCCAUCACCCCCCAACUGCACCCACUGCCCCCCAAAUGCACCAGUUGCCCCCCCAGUGCUACCCAUUGCCCUGCAAUGGCACCCAACACCCAACAGUACCCCUUGCUCCCCAGUGGCACCCAACAGCACCCAUUGCCCCUAAUGGCACCCACCUGAACCCAGUGCCCCCCAACAGCACCCAUUGCCCCCCAGUAUCACCCAACAGCACCCAUUGCCCCUAAUGGCACCCAACUGAACCCAUUGCCCCCCAGUGGCACCCUAAAGCACCCAUUGCCCCUAACAGCACCCAGCUGAACCC
rnacentral:lncRNA from 1 species